AUGGACAUAUGGGAACUUGACUACGGACAUGAUUUUAAGGUCCCUUUGUUUAAGUGUAAAUGGGUCAAUCUGCCAGGAGGCAGGGUACAGGUAGACCCACAGUACGGAGUGACAACAGUGGAUCUGAACAAUCUUGGGUACACUGACGAACCGUUCAUCCUAGCCAACGAUGUGGCACAGGUUAUCUAUGUGAUGGGCAUGUCUACCAAACAGAGAAAAAGAAAAGAUAAGGAAGCGAAUACAUCAUACGAUGAGCCAAAGCGCCACAUAGUUCUUUCAGGAAAAAGGGACAUCGUGGGAGUGGAGGGCAAGACAGACAUGUCUGAAGAUUAUGAAAAUUUUCAUGAAAUUCCUCCCUUCAAAGUCAAGGCUGACCCAAGCAUCCAGAUAAACGAUGAAGAUUAUCCAUGGUUACAGCGCAAUAAGCAAAGCACACAAGCGAAAAAAAAGUGA
rnacentral:rRNA from 1 species